rnacentral:rRNA from 1 species
AGGGUUUGAUCCUGGCUCAGAACGAACGCUGGCGGCGUGGAUUAGGCAUGCAAGUCGUGCGAGAAAGCACCCUUCGGGGUGUGAUUAAAGCGGCGAACUGGUGAGUAACAGGUGGGUAACGUGCCCUGAAGUGGGGGAUAACUUCGAGAAACUCUGGCUAAUACCGCAUGUGGCCCUGUGGACCUAGGUCCAAUGGGUUAAAGGUUUCGAUCGCUUCAGGAUCGGCCCGUCCCCGAUUAGCUUGUUGGUGAGGUAACGGCUUACCAAGGCGACGAUCGGUAGCUGGUCUGAGAGGAUGGUCAGCCACACUGGGACUGAGAUACGGCCCAGACUCCUACGGGGGGCAGCAGUCUAGAGGCUUCGGCAAUGGACGAAAGUCUGACGGUGCGACGCCGCGUGCGGGAUUGAAGGCCUUCGGGUCGUAAACCGCUGUCAGGAGGGAAGAAUGCCCCGAUGGUGAAUCGGGGAGAGACGGUACCUUCAGAGGAAGCCCCGGCUAACUCCGUGCCAGCAGCCGCGGUAAUACGGAGGGUGCAAGCGUUGUUCGGAUUCACUGGGUGUAAAGGGUGUGUAGGCGCCUCGUAAGUCUGAUGUGAAAUCUUCACCGCUCAACGGGAAGAGGUCAUUGGAAACUGCAGGGCUUGAGUAUGGUAGGGGCAAUCGGAAUUCCUGGUGUAACGGUGGAAUGUGUAGAUAUCAGGAAGAACACCCGUGGCGAAGGCGGAUUGCUGGGCCACUACUGACGCUGAGGCACGAAAGCGUGGGGAGCAAACAGGAUUAGAUACCCUGGUAGUCCACGCUGUAAACGGUGCACACUAGGUGUGGGGGGUAUCGACCCCUCCCGUGCCGACGUUAACACAUUAAGUGUGCCGCCUGGGGAGUACGGCCGCAAGGUUGAAACUCAAAGGAAUUGACGGGGGCCCGCACAAGCGGUGGAGGAUGUUGUUUAAUUCGAAGCAACGCGAAGAACCUUACCUGGAUUUGACAUCCCCACUAGGAAACAAGAGAGUGCCUCCAUUAGGAGGAGCUUGGUGACAGGUGCUGCAUGGCUGUCGUCAGCUCGUGUCGUGAGAUGUUGGGUUAAGUCCCGCAACGAGCGCAACCCUCGCCUUUAGUUGCCAUCAGGUUAAGCUGGGCACUCUAGAGGGACCGCCGGUGUUAAACCGGAGGAAGGUGGGGAUGACGUCAAGUCCUCAUGGCCUUUAUAUCCAGGGCUACACACGUACUACAAUGGCAGGUACAAAGGGCAGCCACUUCGCGAGAAGGCGCUAAUCCCAUAAAGCCUGUCUCAGUCCGGAUCGGAGUCUGCAACUCGACUCCGUGAAGUUGGAAUCGCUAGUAAUCGUGGAUCAGCAUGCCACGGUGAAUACGUUCCCGGGCCUUGUACACACCGCCCGUCACACCACGAGAGUCGGUUGUUCCAGAAGUAGUUGCGCUAACCUUCGGGAGGCAGGCUACCAAGGAAUGGCUGGUGAUGGGGGUGAAGUCGUAACAAGGUAGCCG